UACCCACUGACUCACCAUGCUUAUCUUCUCAUUCUUUGUCUUCACGCAGCCAACCGGACUCAUCCACAUCCCCAGGUCUGAGUAAGAAUAAGCACCACCUUGCCAAGCUCUACUGUCAUGACUUCCCAAGGCGGCACACAACCCACCACUCCCAUAGGCGUCAUUCACACUCUUGGCGCCACGAUGACUUAACCAAGCCAAAUCAAGCAGUGACAUCACAGACACACUGUACACACAAAAUGGAUUUACUGGCUAAGAAUCAUUUAUCCUAAGAUCCAAAAUCUAAUAUUUUAAUUAAUGAUUAAUUGGUAAAGAAAAGACAUGGAAAUUAAAAACAAGUCGAUAAUUUAAUAUCAAAUACAAAUAUGAUUACAAUUAUAGUGACACAAUUUGUGAUGUAAAGUUAGCUCAAUAGUCUUACUUCCUGUGCAGCACAAUGAACCCUUAAUAUAUAUUACUGCAUACUAUUCAUAGUUCAAAGUCAAUGUCUGAACACCAUCAUGCACAGUACACACUACAAGACAGAGCAACACUUGCAUCAAGGGACAGGGACAAUGUUACCUUGCAGUGUCGAGAGUCACUUUGCUAUUGUCACUUCAUCUCAUGAUUUGCUCUUUAUUUUGUGUUUUCUGCUAUUUACUAAUUCUUUUCACUUUUUUUAUUAUUUUUUUUUCCCCUUCAUUUGUCUUCAAAGCAUUUAUGUUUUGAAGAGGUACUUUGCAAUACUAGCUGUUUGAUGUUAACCACUUUUUCAUGUAGUCUGAGGGUAAGAUAUAAUGAGAUAUCUAUUCAUGAUAGGACAUGCUGCAAUUUUGUUACAAAUGAAAUCUUAUUACAUUCAGGAUGCCAACACCAGUGCAGUGAAUCUCAACAAUGGCAAAUCCCAGAAUCAGGUCACCAUUGCAUUCAAUGCCUUGAAGACCAAAAUAUAAAAAAAAAAAAAAAAUUCCAGUCCAAAGUACAAAAAUAAGAGAGCUUCUGCCUG